UACGGAGGGUGCAAGCGUUAUCCGGAUUCACUGGGUUUAAAGGGUGCGUAGGUGGGCUAGUAAGUCCGUGGUGAAAUCUCCAAGCUUAACUUGGAAACUGCCGUGGAUACUAUUAGUCUUGAAUAUUGUGGAGGUAAGCGGAAUAUGUCAUGUAGCGGUGAAAUGCUUAGAUAUGACAUAGAACACCGAUAGCGAAGGCAGCUUGCUACACAAUCAUUGACACUGAGGCAUGAAAGCGUGGGGAUCAAACAGG
rnacentral:rRNA from 1 species